rnacentral:rRNA from 1 species
CCUACGGGUGGCUGCAGUGGGGAAUAUUGGACAAUGGGCGAAAGCCUGGUCCAGCCAUGCCGCGUGUGUGAAGAAGGCCUUCGGGUUGUAAAGCACUUUCAGUGGGGAAGAAAGCCUUGGGGCUAAUACCCUCGAGGAAGGACAUCACCCACAGAAGAAGCACCGGCUAACUCCGUGCCAGCAGCCGCGGUAAUACGGAGGGUGCGAGCGUUAAUCGGAAUUACUGGGCGUAAAGCGCGCGUAGGCGGUCUGAUAAGCCGGUUGUGAAAGCCCCGGGCUCAACCUGGGAACGGCAUCCGGAACUGUCAGGCUAGAGUGCAGGAGAGGAAGGUAGAAUUCCCGGUGUAGCGGUGAAAUGCGUAGAGAUCGGGAGGAAUACCAGUGGCGAAGGCGGCCUUCUGGACUGACACUGACGCUGAGGUGCGAAAGCGUGGGUAGCAAACAGGAUUAGAUACCCGAGUAGUC